GCUGAAACAUCAAAUUGUCAGCUUCCCAAGCUGAAGGUCGCGGGUUCGAAUCCCGUUUCCCGCU
rnacentral:tRNA from 1 species